GGUUCCAUAGUGUAGCGGUUAUCACGUCUGCUUUACACGCAGAAGGUCUCCAGUUCGACCCUGGAUGGAACCA